GCUCAGGACGAACGCUGGCGGCGUGCCUAAUACAUGCAAGUCGAGCGGAAUGAUGAAGAAGCUUGCUUCUUCUGAUUUUAGCGGCGGACGGGUGAGUAACACGUGGGCAACCUACCUUGUAGAUUGGGAUAACUCCGGGAAACCGGGGCUAAUACCGAAUAAUCCAUUUUGCUUCAUGGCAAGAUGUUGAAAGGCGGCUUCGGCUGUCACUACGAGAUGGGCCCGCGGCGUAUUAGCUAGUUGGUAGGGUAAUGGCCUACCAAGGCGACGAUACGUAGCCGACCUGAGAGGGUGAUCGGCCACACUGGGACUGAGACACGGCCCAGACUCCUACGGGAGGCAGCAGUAGGGAAUCUUCCACAAUGGACGAAAGUCUGAUGGAGCAACGCCGCGUGAGUGAAGAAGGUUUUCGGAUCGUAAAACUCUGUUGUAAGGGAAGAACACGUACGAGAGUAACUGCUCGUACCUUGACGGUACCUUAUUAGAAAGCCACGGCUAACUAC
rnacentral:rRNA from 1 species